CUAACCUAAUUCCUAAACCAAAUUAUCCGAAUAGUAACCCAUUCCCGAUUGCUCUUUUCCCUUCCCUCCUCUGCCUUGCCUAAAUCCCUAAACCAAAGUCUAAACCUAAUCAAUUCUUCAUUUUUAUUCAAUAUCAAUCCCUUGUUUUCCUCCCCUUCUCUUUACCGAAUCUGCUUUUCCCUGUCCCGACCUACCUGCCGUCGGCCAUCUGCUCUCCCCAUCGGCUGCCAUCUUGCAUCGCGAACGGUAUUAACGACACCCUACUGCCACCUUGUGUCGAUUUUCUACUGCUCUAAUCUACCCAUUGGUUUCCUCUGCUGUGUGGCUGAGUCUUUGAGUGCAGGUGCAUCAGUAUUUUUUAACUUUAAUCAUUAAUCUCCACUCCUGGUAAAGCAUAUGUACUGGUAUGCAGUGGGGGAUAAAGUUUCUAUCUGUGAAUGUAGGUGCAGUAGAGCUCGAUUACCACUAAGCAGAUUUUGGCUGUUUGAGCCUCGUUGUGAUAUGCAUGAUAUAGGCGGUUGGUAUAUUGAAACAUUUGGUAGAGAUAAGAAAGGUCGAACAGUUCUGUCUCAAAGGUAUUGGGAUGGCUUGAUGAAAGUGAACAAUAUGACAAGAGACUCCAUCCAGCAAUGUAUUUACUUGCUCUUGCAUAUAGAACAUUAGAUCUUGAAGAUACAAAAAGAAGAAAACAAGCAUUCAAGAAUUUCAUUGAAAGCCAACUGUUUAGAGUUUUCCAUUGGUGCAAGAAACUUGUUUAGGAGUGAUCACUAGAUCUUAAAGAUGCAACAUAUGGUUACCUCUCUGGCUUGAUUGGAUACUUCUUUUCUGAGGUGGUGGUGCUUCACCAUUUAAUUGGCUAAGUCAAUUGCACUAGCAAGUAGCAAAGCUUUCUGGAUGAUGAAUUCAUACCUUGUAAGAGCCCAACAAUCUGUCACGAGCCAGGACCUGCCAGAGGAAAAAGGAGACUCGUUAUUAGUAUUUGCAUAUGAUCAACAUUUUAUGGCCUGCAAAGCAAAAAGAAAGAUAGUCAAUAUGUCUUCCUUAGUUGCUGAGUCAUUACUUCUAUCUGUCUCCAGGCUAGACAAAUUAACUAACAACUUUGGUGGAACAUUUCUGAAAAUUUUAUAUAGAUUCCGGUUGCUUUCAUUUUUAUUAAGUUAGUUUUUGCUUUUUCACAAGAUUGUGACAUUUUUCUUGUUUGACGUUAUAUCUCAGUUAAAGACAAGGUAAUUGAGUUAGCGCCAACCGGUAUAUGCUAAAUUGAGGAAAAUUUUGGCUGCACGUUGGGUACAAGUGUUGCAAACUGGAAAAUUAUUUGAAGCUAAAAGAACAACAUUCAAGCCAGAAUGUGGGAUCAGAUCAUGUGGAAGGAGAUGGAGGAACUAUUAAUGAGGAUCAAUUGUUCAUUACUGCAGCAGGAGGAUGGCAAGGAAGUCGAGUUUAUGGUUUAGGUAGUGCUGCAUCUUCUGCCUUCUCUCAAACAGGAACUGUGGGAAAAACAACAGAUGUUCCAUCAUCACAAUCACCAGAAUGGAAGAAGGAAAUUGAAGCAAAGUUUGAAGAGAAGUAUAAUAGUUUGCAGAAACUUGUAGAAGACCAAAAUCAGAUAAUAGCUCGAAUGCGUGAUGAACUACAGGCAACGAGGAUGGGACAGCAGUCUUCCUCAUUGAUGCCAUCAACAUCUGAUAUGCCUCCAGCUCAAAGAUCCCCUGGUGAUUCACAUAUAGAUUAGCAUGAUAUCAUUUCUCACUGACUUUAAUAAUAUAUUUUAUGAUAUGAAUUUGAUACUAUGUGGAUUAAUUAUGUAUUUUGAGAUAUUUUAAGUUUUAUAGUCUUGAACUAUAGUAAUGUUUUGGAUUUUUAGAUUGCACAAUUAUGAAAUGAAGUUGAUGUUUAUAUAUUA